GCCAGGUGUGGUGGCAUGCACCUGUAGUCCCAGCUACUUGGGAGGCUGAGGCAGGAGAAUCGCUUGAACCCAGGAGGCGGAGGGUGCAGUGAGCCAAGACUGCGCCACUGCACUCCAGCCUGGGUGACAGAGUGAGACUCUGUCUCAA
rnacentral:SRP_RNA from 1 species